AACCUACCCUUGAAACCGGGAUAACUUCGCGAAAGCGAUGCUAAUACCGGAUAUUGUCUCUGGAUCUGUGGAUUUGGAGAUGAAAGGUGACCUCUUCAUGAAAGUUGCCGUUUAAGGAUGGGCUCGCGUACCAUUAGCUAGUUGGUGGGGUAAUGGCCCACCAAGGCGACGAUGGUUAGCUGGUCUGAGAGGAUGAUCAGCCACACUGGAACUGGAACACGGUCCAG
rnacentral:rRNA from 1 species